UGGYUGUUGGGUGGAUUAGUGGCGAACGGRUGAGUAAUACGUGGGUAACCUGCCCUCCUUUYUGGGAUAAGCCUUGGAAACGGGGUCUAAUACCGAAUAUUCUGGAUGAUUCGCAUGGAKUGUUUGGGAAAGCUUUUGUGAAGGGGGAUGGGCUCGCGGCCUAUCAGCUUGUUGGUGGGGUGAUGGCCUACCAAGGCGGUGACGGGUAGCCGGCCUGAGAGGGUGACCGGCCACAUUGGGACUGAGAUACGGCCCAGACUCCUACGGGAGGCAGCAGUGGGGGAUAYUGCACAAUGGGCGAAAGCCUGAUGCAGCGACGCCGCGUGGGGGAUGAAGGCUUUCGGGUUGUAAACCUCUUUCGCUAUCGAACAAGGCUCACUAUAGGGUGGGUUGAGGGUAGGUGGAGAAGAAGCGCCGGCUAACUACGUGCCAGCAGCCGCGGUAAUACGUAGGGCGCGAGCGUUGUCCGGAAUUAUUGGGCGUAAAGGGCUUGUAGGCGGCUUGUUGCGCCUGCUGUGAAAACGCGGGGCUUAACKUCGCGCGUGCAGUGGGUACGGGCAGGCUUGAGUGUGGUAGGGGUGACUGGAAUUCCAGGUGUAGCGGUGGAAUGCGCAGAUAUCUGGAGGAACACCGAUGGCGAAGGCAGGUCACUGGGCCAUUACUGACGCUGAGGAGCGAAAGCAUGG
rnacentral:rRNA from 1 species